rnacentral:rRNA from 1 species
AUGGACACAGCAGAAGCAGAGAGCAGCAGUGGCUCACCGGAGGUGUCGGCGGGUCACGGCACAGGUGGAGAACAACAGCUUGACACCGGUCGGCUACGGGCCUCGAUGGCUCAGGCGGCAGACGCUCGGGGCAAGGUUGCGGUCCUUAGCAGCGGUCGACCGCAGAUGUUGGCUUCUAUCUUCUUGUGUGACAGCAGCGAAAACUCACGGGGCAGAGGUAGAGCCGGCCACGGUGGUUUGUGGGCGAGGCGAGGUCGUGCGAUGGCCAGCUCGGCUCGCGGGCGGUUUACAACGGCGAUGGCCACUAGGCGGCCGUCGGGGCUCAGCAGCAGUGGAGGCCGAGGAGUCCCAUGGCAGAAGCAGGGCCAGGGCAACCCGGAAGUGGUUAAACCCCUGGCAAGGCGGCUGCAGCGACUUGGCCAGCGGCGGCUUGCGGUGAGGAGGCGACGACUUAGCGGAGGCCCGGCGCGAAGCGGAGCAAGGCGGUCCACCGCGAUAGAAGCGACGACUCAGGGGCGCCGUGCUGCAGGAGAGGCGGAGGCAUGGCGUGAGGCAGCCGGCGCAGAAGAAGCAAAGAGCAGCAGCGGCUCAGCGGAGGUGUCGGCGGGUCACGACAUAGGUGGAGAACAACGGCUUGACACCGGUCGGCUAAGGGCCUCGAUGGCUGAGGCGGCAGACGCUCGGGGCAAGUUGAAGUCCUCACAUCUUGUCUUCAACGUGAAAACUCACGGGGCAGAGGUAGAGCCGGCCACGGUGGUUUGUGGUAAUGGUGGAUGGAAGAACCGGCCACUGAACCGGCCACUGAUGCAAAAUCAUUUUCCUGUGAAGGGCGAGGCGAGGUCGCGCGAUGGCCGGCUCGGCUCACGGGCGGUUUACAACGGGCCAAGGCAACCCGGAAGUGGUUGCAGGGGCGUCAAUGCAAGGGCCCGCAGCGGCGUGCGGCGCGAAGGCAAAGGCAGCGACAGCUCGUGCCUUGGCUGUAGAAACCCCUGGCAAGGUGGCUGCAGCGACUUGGCCAGCGGCGGCUUGCGGGGGGUUGUACCGAAGAAGAAGUGGUAUGAGAUGUACGAUUAUGCUAACAAUGUGCCUUUUGUUACAUGUGCGACUCCAUUUAUGGUGUCUGCUCAGUCUGGUGAUGUUGCUACUGUCAAGUAUUUUCUUGAUCAUGGUGGUGAUCUUGUGAAAGCAGAUGACAAAGGGCGCACAGUUCUCCACCAUGCUGUGGGUAUAGGAUGCUGCAAGGUUACAGAGUUCCUCCUGUCAAAAGGAGUGCCUAUUGACAUAGAUUGUGGCCGUGGAACACCACUCUUUUGGGCUGCUAAUAAUGAGCAGGAUAAGACAGUUAAGAUUUUGCUAGAGCACCAUGCAAAUCCUAACAUCAUUAUCAAUGGUACUACCAGUCCCCUUAUGAGUGCUCUUGUUUACCGUUCAUUGAAGUGCAUGAAGCUACUCAUUAAGGCUGGUGCUGAUGUCAAUUGCAAUGGUUCCAUGUUGACUCCUUUGUUGCUUGCUACGAUGCAUGGAGGUUAUACCAACUUCAUUAAGCUCCUAUUAAAGUCUGGAGCAGAUCCUAAUAUUCCCGAUGAUGCUUCAGCGGAUCAUGGAUUUGAAUUGAGCAGAUUUGGAUUAGGGAUGGAGAUGGUUGACAGAGAUGGAACAGCAGCGGAAGAGGAUGAACAGCAGCAGAUGGCCAGGAAGAUGAGCCAGGGAGGGGUGGAGGGCGGAGAACAGAGGAAGAAGGGGAUCGGUGUCGCGCCGCCAAGUGCGAUGUGGGAGCACGAUCCAAGUCCUGAGUCCGGUCUAGAUCCACCCAGCGGAUCAUUGGAAUCCCGUUCGCGAGAAGAAGGGCGACGCCACGCACAGAGCAUGGCAAUCGACCAGCAGCGCCGCGUGAAGCUGAUGCGAGUAAUGAAUAUUGAAUAUCCUUUCCCCUUCGCCAAGCUCCCUCCUCAUCCCCUGCUUUCUCCUCUCCGAUCAGAUCUCAUCCCCCUUCUCCCCUCCUCCCCUUGGGUCAUGACAAUCUGGUGCGAGCCGCCCCGGCGUGCUCGCUCGAAAUCCUACUCGGGGUUCGCUUUGAUCUGGAUCGCGACCACGGCACCGUCCAAGCCCUCCGCGCAGACCCGUCGCGUGCUGGAUGCGAUGACGGAAACCACCGACAAGAUGCAAGGCCUCCUCGAGACCAUCCUGCGCCGCCUCGACGACCACCAGAAGACCGCCGACGAGCGCCACCACGCACAAGUCGCCUACAACGACCAUGUCUCCAACGAGCUCAAGCACUUGGCGAAGCAGAUCGAUCUGACACAGGCGGAUGUGGAUGAGGCCCGCAAAUCCCCUCCGCCUGUCGAUCCCGCCGCGACAAGCCAUCUCGGGGCAUCUGGGUCCGGAGCGUCGACGAUCUCAGGCCCCUUCCACCCCGCACCACCACCUCCGCCUACGAUGACUCGUCCACCCCCGCCACCACCACUCUACACGGAGGGCGCAGCGCAGCUGCCGUUCGCCCGGCUCGUCAACCACGGGCCGCCCCUGCUGCUGCAAAACUCUCCCACGGCGUACGAGCGGGGCGCCGAGCAAUACACCAAGCCGCCCAAGCAUGACUUCCCCCGUUUCGACGGCGACGCGCCGCGCAUCUGGCUGGAGCGGUGUCUCUCUUACUUCGAGCUCUACCGGGUGCCGCAGCACAGUUGGGUCGCCAUUGCCGGCCUGUAUAUGGAUGGGCUUGCAGCCAUGUGGCUUCAGGCGUACAAACAGACGCACCCUGCUCUGUCGUGGCCCGCCUUCAGGACAGCAGUGGAAGCAGAGUUUGGACCUGAAGAAUUCGAAGCGCAGAUGCAUCAGCUAGUGCAAUUGCGUCAGACUGGGAGCGUGCAAGAGUAUCGCCAGCAGUUCGAGACAUCGAUGUAUCACUUGCUGUCUCUGGAUCCGCACUUGAGCCCGCAGUUUUUCAUCUCACAGUUCCUGCUGGGUCUUAAGGAUGAACUCCGGCUGGGCGUCCGCCUUCAGGCCCCCUCCAGUAUCACUCGAGCAGCAGUGUUUGCAAGGAUUCAGGAAGAGGAGUUGGAGCGACAACGCACACAACGCCAUCGGAUCGUGCCAGUGGGUCGCCCACCUCCUCACGCAUCUACAGCAGCCAUCAUUCCAGUCCGGCCAGCACCAGCGCAACCGCGGCCAGCGAACGAUGAUUUUGCUCGGGAACGACAACUACGAGAAUUCCGAAGAGCUAAUGGCUUGUGCUUCCGUUGUGGGGAUAAGUACUCCCGCGAGCAUCAGUGCAAACGCAUGGGGCAGAUUCUGAUGAUUGAAGUGGGGGAAUUCGGAGAAAUUCUGUCCGACGACACGGUGCACGCCCUUCAGUUGUUGGAUGCACCAGCUCAACAGGAACCCGAAUGCUGCUCCCUGAGCCAGCAUGCCAUGUCCGGCGAGGAAGGGACAUCUACACUUCGCCUACACGCUCAAGUAGGCGAUCAGGUCAUGCUGCUAUUGGUCGACUCCGGGAGUUCCCACAGUUUCAUUAGUGAACACUUCACUGCCCGGAUUGCUGUCCAGCCCGAAGAUCUGCCUCCUGUGCCUCCAAUUUCAGAGCUAGAUGCUUAUGAGCUACACAGAAUGGAAAUAGCCAACGAUAUCUGGACAGCGGCUCUGGUCACCGUGGAGAAAACUGAUGAACCACCAUCUGCACCGGUCCCCGCCAACAUUCAGAAGCGAGUAAUGAAUAUUGAAUCUCCUUUCCCCUUCGCCAAGCUCCCUCCUCAUCCCCUGCUUUCUCCUCUCCGAUCAGAUCUCAUCCCCCUUCUCCCCUCCUCCCCUUGGGUCAUGACAGUUAGCUACGGCGGGAGGAUCGAGCGCGCCCAGGGUCAGCCGCCGAGGUACGUCGACGGUGAGCACCUGCUCCUCAACGUCGUCUCGUCCGUCUCCACGAGGGGCUUCCGCGACCUGCUGGCGGCGCGCGCGGGCUUCUCCGACUUCUCCCUCAAGUACUGCUACUCCGGCGAGGGGCUGGACUCGCUCUGCGACGUGGACACGGACGAGGACCUGCGGGACAUGCUGGACAUGCUGCUCUACCGGGAUCUGCAGGUCCGGCUGUUCAACGACCAGAACACGCGCCGGUUCCGGGUCUACCUGUUCCGCGACGCCGCCGCCGCCCCGUCGCCGACCUCCCAGGCCCUCGGAAAACCAGCUCCCAUGCGGCACAGCGCGACGUCGCCGGCUCUGUUGCCGGCGAAGCCGGCCGACGUCGACGGGCGGCCCUCCCAGGGCCUGGCCGCUCCCGCUCCCUCUCCCGUGCCGCGGAUCAUGACUUCGCCGAAUCCAUUGCGCGAGACGUCGACGGCUGGCCCGGCGCCCUCCAAGCCGCCGCUCGCCCCUGCUCUCGGACGGCGGAGAGCGUCGUCGCCUUUGUUGACGGCAGACUCGACAAAUGACACGGCUUCUUUGAUCACCACUACGUCGACAUCAGCAGCCAGAGCUACCCAACAUACACAACCCCACGCUGCGGCAUUCCGGCCGGCAGAGCUGAGUAAUCCGUUGUGCAAGACAUCGACAGCUGGCACGGCGCCCUCCAAGCCGCCGCUCGCCCCUGCUUUCGCACGGCGGAUAGCGUCGUCGCCAUUGUUGACGGCAGACUCGACAAAUGGCGCGGCUUCUUUGAUCACCACUACGUCGACAUCAGCAGCCAGAGCUACCCAACAUACACAAACCCACGCCGCGGCGUUCCGGCCAGCAGAGCUGAGUAAUCCGGACAAAACACACGCCUUCUCCCCCGAUGUAACCCACCCCAUUGCCCACCUUCCCCAGCACCACCCACCCCUGCGGCGCCUCACCACCACCCACCUCGGCGCCCCACCACCCCCACGCCUCCCACCAGGCCGCCGGCGGGCCGCCCAUCCCCAUCCCUGCAUCCACCACAGCCGCCCUCCCUGCGCCGGAUCCAGCAAUCGAGGUGGGGGCGGCCGCGACUUGCCGCUGACGGGCCCGAUCCGCACGGUCCCCGCUCGAUCUCGUGCCUCCCUCGCGCCCCCACCCAGCAAGCUUCUUCCUCGACUAGAUCCGCCAUCUUGCCUCGUCCUCCUCACCUCCUCCCUCUUCAAGCGGGUGUCGCAACCGGAGAUCUACCCUGUCCAACCGUCCUUCGGCCAUCAGCCCCUCCCUCUUGAUGGUGAUCACGCCGAGCGCCCCCACAUCCUAGCGCCUCCCCUGCGAUGGAUCCGUCUGGAUCCAGCCCCGCCGUCCGUGGCCAUGGAGGGAUCCCUCGCCGACCCUACCUUCCUUUCUAGCGUUGCUGGCAUCUGCACUCCGUUCGCCCAGCCGGCUCGGCCCCGAGCCCCCACCUCCUCUCCGUAUCCAUCGCUGGAUGGAUGGAUGGAUUUGUGCAGAUACACAUCUGGAUGCUCCAUCCUUGCUCCCAUGUGUGGCGGCCACAGGAGGUUGAGAUGGCGCCCGUCGGCUAGCAGGGCGUCGCCCCACUCCGUGCACUGCAGUUUUGGGCUCAUUGUGUGUUUUUGGUUGGAUGGAAAAUCAGAAGCAAUGCCCACUAUUGAAUUCAAGGGGAGGAGAGAUUGGUUAGUGGGAGGAGUCCGUAAGAUGAUGUCGUAA